GUGGUGUUAGCUCAAUUGGUUAGAGCAUCAGAUUGUGGAUCUGAUGGUUGCCGGUUCAAGUCCGGUACACCACC
rfam:Microgenomates bacterium GW2011_GWA1_45_10 TW86_C0027, whole genome shotgun sequence.